AGCUCCAAUAGCGUAUACUAAAGUUGUUGCAGUUAAAAGCUCGUAGUUGGAUUUCUGUUAUUAAAAUCGGUCGUGUCCUCACGGAUUCUGUACCAGGUUUCUUAAUUGCAUCUUCAAGGUUCUGGUAUCUGGUAUUAAUUUAUCGGGUAUUCGGUCCUUGUCAUUUACUGUGAGCAAAAUAGAGUGUUCAAAGCAGGCUUAGGCCAUGAAUACAUUAGCAUGGAAUAAUAAGAUAGGACCUUGGUCUAUUUUGUUGGUUUACAUUCCAAGGUAAUGAUUAAUAGGGAUAGUUGGGGGUAUUUGUAUUCAAUUGUCAGAGGUGAAAUUCUUGGAUUUAUGGAAGACAAACUACUGCGAAAGCAUUUACCAAGGAUGUUUUCA
rnacentral:rRNA from 1 species